ACGUAGGGUGCGAGCGUUAUCCGGAAUCAUUGGGCGUAAAGAGCUCGUAGGCGGGUUGUCACGUCAGUCGUGAAAGCCCGGGGCUUAACCCCGGAACUGCGGUGGGUACGGGCAGACUAGAGUGCAGUAGAGGAGACUGGAAUUCCUGGUGUAGCGGUGAAAUGCGUAGAUAUCAGGAGGAACACCGAUGGCGAAGGCAGGUCUCUGGGCUGUAACUGACGCUGAGGAGCGAAAGCAUGGGGAUCAAACAG
rnacentral:rRNA from 1 species